ACAUGCCUACAACAUAGAGUUAAUGCACCAGAUCCCAUUAGAAAUCCACAAUUAAUCAUGCUCAUGCUAGAGUAGUACUGGGAUGAGUGAUCUCCCAAGAAGUCCUAGUGUUUUACAUGCC
rnacentral:rRNA from 1 species